rnacentral:rRNA from 1 species
UACGAAGGGGGCUAGCGUUGCUCGGAAUUACUGGGCGUAAAGCGCACGUAGGCGGCUUGUUAAGUCAGGGGUGAAAGCCUGGAGCUCAACUCCAGAACUGCCUUUGAUACUGACGAGCUUGAGUUCGGGAGAGGUGAGUGGAACUGCGAGUGUAGAGGUGAAAUGCAUAGAUACCAUAAAGAACUCCUAUUGCGAAGGCAGCUUACUAGGCUGUAACUGACGCUGAGGCACGAAAGCGUGGGGAUCAAACAGG